rnacentral:lncRNA from 1 species
AGUCUGCGUAUCCUGUGCUGGUGAAGGGUGGAUGGGCUUUAUGCAAAUCUCUGCUUGGCUGCAGAAUCUCCCAGUGAGAUGAGCAAGGGUGCUUUGCAGUCAGUGUUGAAACCCCAGAAGAGCAGGAAAUGAUGCUGUUCCUGCCCAAAGGCAGAAUGAAAUGCAAGGAAAGGAGAAAAACAUUAUGACAUAAGUAUUAAGAAAGAUGCUGUUUACGGGAACUCUGAAAGACUGGAAUUCAGAGCCGCUACCAAUUAAGAAAGUUAAUGAUGACUUGCAGCAGGUUUGCAGAAAGUGAAAGGAAGGCACGUGUGAAACCAGAAAAAAAUAAAUUAGGUGAAAGAAUCUUCAUUCCUGGUGACACCUUAGAAGAAGAAACAGACAAUCUUGGAUGGAUUUGUUAAAGAUCAGAGGAUCCAUAAUGUCAUGCAAAAUGGUGGGAUUGGGGGCAAACAGAUCAAGUUGAUGAGUGGGGUUAGCAACAGUGAGACCUGAAAGAGAAAACAAGUUAACAGAAGCCAGACUAAG